rnacentral:rRNA from 1 species
GAGCUCGAGCGCAGCUACGUACGCAUCCCAGCAUGGCUUUCACUUCCAGAGCCUUGGCCGCGUUCCUGUGCGUGCUCCUGGCCUCACUCAUGUUCCUCGCGCAGCACGCGUUCGCCGCCAGAGGUACUUUGAGCAACGAGACGCCAUACGGGGUCACCUACAAGGCCCCGCCCGGUGGUUAUGGGAGUUCUCCUCCAUGAUAGGCCGGAGAUGAUGAUACUUGGAGCAGCGAAACACAAAUACGUACGGCGGAGCAUGAAUAAAUUUGCACUAGUUGCUGAUAUAAAGCAAAGCAUAGUGAUGCACGGUUUUAUGUUGUUAUUGAGUUUCCCUUUAUAUAUAUACAAAUAAACACCCUUGUGGUGGUUUGCG